UACGUAGGUGACAAGCGUUGUCCGGAUUUACUGGGCGUAAAGAGCGCGCAGGCGGUCGUUCAAGUCGAGUGUGAAAGCCCCCGGCUCAACUGGGGAGGGUCACGCGAUACUGAUCGACUCGAAGGCAGGAGAGGGUAGUGGAAUUCCCGGUGUAGUGGUGAAAUGCGUAGAUAUCGGGAGGAACACCAGUGGCGAAGGCGACUAUCUGGGCUGCAACUGACGCUGAGGCGCGAAGGCUAGGGUAGCAAACAGG
rnacentral:rRNA from 1 species